GCUUCUCUUGAGAGCGGCGGACGGGUGAGUAAUGCCUAGGAAUCUGCCUAGUGGUGGGGGAUAACGUUCGGAAACGGACGCUAAUACCGCAUACGUCCUACGGGAGAAAGCGGGGGAUCUUCGGACCUCGCGCCAUUAGAUGAGCCUAGGUCGGAUUAGCUAGUUGGUGAGGUAAUGGCUCACCAAGGCGACGAUCCGUAACUGGUCUGAGAGGAUGAUCAGUCACACUGGAACUGAGACACGGUCCAGACUCCUACGGGAGGCAGCAGUGGGGAAUAUUGGACAAUGGGCGAAAGCCUGAUCCAGCCAUGCCGCGUGUGUGAAGAAGGUCUUCGGAUUGUAAAGCACUUUAAGUUGGGAGGAAGGGUAGUAACCUAAUACGUUGCUACUUUGACGUUACCGACAGAAUAAGCACCGGCUAACUUCGUGCCAGCAGCCGCGGUAAUACGAAGGGUGCAAGCGUUAAUCGGAAUUACUGGGCGUAAAGCGCGCGUAGGUGGUUCAGUAAGUUGGAAGUGAAAUCCCCGGGCUCAACCUGGGAACUGCUUUCAAAACUGCUGAGCUAGAGUACGGUAGAGGGUGGUGGAAUUUCCUGUGUAGCGGUGAAAUGCGUAGAUAUAGGAAGGAACACCAGUGGCGAAGGCGACCACCUGGACUGAUACUGACACUGAGGUGCGAAAGCGUGGGGAGCAAACAGGAUUAGAUACUCUGGUAGUCCACGCCGUAAACGAUGUCAACUAGCCGUUGGAAUCCUUGAGAUUUUAGUGGCGCAGCUAACGCAUUAAGUUGACCGCCUGGGG
rnacentral:rRNA from 1 species